rnacentral:rRNA from 1 species
AUUGAACGCUGGCGGCAGGCCUAACACAUGCAAGUCGAGCGGACGAAGGGAGCUUGCUCCUGGAUUCAGCGGCGGACGGGCGAGUAAUGCCUAGGAAUCUGACUGGUAGUGGGGGAUAACGUCCGGAAACGGGCGCUAAUACCGCAUACGUCCUGAGGGAGAAAGUGGGGGAUCUUCGGACCUCACGCUAUUUGAUGAGCCUAGGUCGGAUUAGCUAGUUGGUGGGGUAAAGGCCUACCAAGGCGACGAUCCGUAACUGGUCUGAGAGGAUGAUCAGUCACACUGGAACUGAGACACGGUCCAGACUCCUACGGGAGGCAGCAGUGGGGAAUAUUGGACAAUGGGCGAAAGCCUGAUCCAGCCAUGCCGCGUGUGUGAAGAAGGUCUUCGGAUUGUAAAGCACUUUAAGUUGGGAGGAAGGGCAGUAAGUUAAUACCUUGCUGUUUUGACGUUACCAACAGAAUAAGCACCGGCUAACUUCGUG